UUGAAAAGUACAAAAAUGUCGAACUGCAACUGACAUUUCUCCAGACCGAGGAAAAAAAAAUGAAGACAAAGCUCAAUAAAACCAUCCUCACACAAAAGAAAUGGAUCUACAACAGUCUGACAGAGACAAUCAGGAGUAACAUGAAAGGAUGCUACAAAGAAGCAGCAGCAUUUGAAGGACCAGGCACCCUGAAGAGGAUGAGGGACACUAUUGAGAGACAUGUGGAGUCAAAGAAGUACAUGU